AUGCACGCUGGCGGCGUGCCUCAUCCCUGCCAGUCUCGCGCACAGAUGAGGAGCUUGCUCCUCUGACGUUAGCGGCGGACGGGUGAGUAACACGUGGAUAACCUACCUAUAAGACUGGGAUAACUUCGGGAAACCGGAGCUAAUACCGGAUAAUAUAUUGAACCGCAUGGUUCAAUAGUGAAAGACGGUUUUGCUGUCACUUAUAGAUGGAUCCGCGCCGCAUUAGCUAGUUGGUAAGGUAACGGCUUACCAAGGCGACGAUGCGUAGCCGACCUGAGAGGGUGAUCGGCCACACUGGAACUGAGACACGGUCAAGACUCCUACGGGAGGCAGCAGUAGGGAAUCUUCCGCAAUGGGCGAAAGCCUGACGGAGCAACGCCGCGUGAGUGAUGAAGGUCUUCGGAUCGUAAAACUCUGUUAUUAGGGAAGAACAAAUGUGUAAGUAACUAUGCACGUCUUGACGGUACCUAAUCAGAAAGCCACGGCUAACUACGUG
rnacentral:rRNA from 1 species